UACAGAGGCCUCGAGCGUUAGGCGGAAUCACUGGGCUUAAAGCGUGUGUAGGCGGAGUUCUAAGUACCUUGUGAAAUCCCACGGCUCAACCGUGGAACUGCUUGGUAUACUGGUUCUCUUGAGGUACCUAGGGGCGAGCGGAACAAGUGGUGGAGCGGUGAAAUGCGUAGAUAUCACUUGGAACGCCAACGGUGAAAACAGCUCGCUGGGGGUAUCCUGACGCUGGGACACGGAAAGCCAGGGGAGCAAACGGG
rnacentral:rRNA from 1 species